UACGAAGGGGGCGAGCGUUGUUCGGAAUUACUGGGCGUAAAGGGCGCGCAGGCGGCUCUGAAAGUCAGAUGUGAAAGCCCCGGGCUUAACCUGGGAAUUGCAUUUGAUACUCUGGAGCUUGAGUACGGGAGAGGAGAGUGGAAUUCCCAGUGAGAGGUGAAAUUCGUAGAUAUUGGGAAGAACACCGGUGGCGAAGGCGGCUCUCUGGACCGUAACUGACGCUGAGGCGCGAAAAGCGUGGGGGAGCAAACGGGG
rnacentral:rRNA from 1 species